UUCAGGUGAGAUAAAGCCACCUUCGUGGAGGAGCUUGUCAACUUGGGUUUUUCGUAUAACCGCGGUAGCUGGCACGAGUUUUACCAGCCCUUUUAACCAUAACUAAGUCAAGUUUGCAUUUAUUGGCUUAAUGUCUGUCACUGCUGAGUUCCCUUGGGGGUGUGGCUGAGCAAGGUGUUGUGGGCUAUAAGGGCAUGUGCUGAUACCAGCUCCUUGUUCCCGGACGGGGAACUGUGGGGCAUUCUCACGGGGGUGCGGAUACUCGCAUGUGUAAAUCUGGUUAAAGCUGACAGGAAAGUCAGGACCAAGCCUUUG
rnacentral:rRNA from 1 species